rnacentral:rRNA from 1 species
GACGAACGCUGGCGGCGUGCUUAACACAUGCAAGUCGAACGGUAAGGCCCUUCGGGUACACGAGUGGCGAACGGGUGAGUAACACGUGGUGAUCUGCCCUGCACUUCGGGAUAAGCUUGGGAAACUGGGUCUAAUACCGGAUAGGACCACGGUCUGCAUGGAUUGUGGUGGAAAGCUUUUGCGGUGUGGGAUGGGCCCGCGGCCUAUCAGCUUGUUGGUGGGGUGAUGGCCUACCAAGGCGACGACGGGUAGCCGGCCUGAGAGGGUGUCCGGCCACACUGGGACUGAGAUACGGCCCAGACUCCUACGGGAGGCAGCAGUGGGGAAUAUUGCACAAUGGGCGCAAGCCUGAUGCAGCGACGCCGCGUGGGGGAUGACGGCCUUCGGGUUGUAAACCUCUUCUAGCAUCGACGAAGCGCAAGUGACGGUAGAUGCAGAAGAAAGCACCGGCCAACUACGUGCCAGCAGCCGCGGUAA